GGACUACUGGGGUAUCUAAUCCUGUUUGCUCCCCUAGCUUUCGUCCCUCAGCGUCAGUUGCGAUCCAGCGAGCCGCUUUCGCCUCGGAUGUUCCUGCGGAUAUCUACGCAUUUCACCGCUACACCCGCAAUUCCACUCGCCUCUCUCGCACUCUAGCACAGCAGUUUCGGGAGCAGCCUCUGAGUUAAGCCCAGAGAUUUCACUUCCGACUUGCCACACCGCCUACGGACCCUUUACGCCCAGUAAUUCCGAGCAACGCUGGCCCCCUACGUUUUACCGCGGCUGCUGGCAC
rnacentral:rRNA from 1 species